AACGGUGUAAAAUCAGUGGAUUAUUAGGGAAUCAUAAUCCGCGUGUCGGGGGUUCGAGUCCCUCCUCCGCUACCA
rnacentral:tRNA from 1 species